rnacentral:lncRNA from 1 species
AGCUUGUUUGUCUUUGACUCGUCGUACUGUUCUUCAUACAGUUUAAAAAUGCACGAAUGUCUUAUUAACUAAAUUUAAAAUUUAGGCAAUAAGAGACAGUGUAAUUGAAGCGACUAUCGACCACGAUAAAGGAUAUGUACAAUCUAAGGUACUGUAAUGGUGGUUGCAUUUUUUUCAUUAUUUUUCCCAUUAUUUCGCGGACAUCCAUGAACUCAACCUCGUACCCAGGGCAUUUUGCUUCCGGUCAGCGAAAAUGGUCCUGGCAUCGGCCGGUCACAUGACCUCAAAAUCUCCAGUAUUUGGGGUGUUCAAUUAUUUAACUGAUUCGCCGAAAGCGAGGUGAUUAUCGGUGAAUAAAAACCAAGACGAAGUCGAGGUUUUUAUUCACGAUAUUCACCGAGCCUGAGGUGAGUAAUUGUUUUAACAGUAUAAUUUCAUCGGUGAUUAUUUGGAAAAAAUAAGAAAAUACACAUUUCUUCGUCAUUAAAUUGACAAAAAGGCUUCGGCCGCCAUUUUGAAAAUCGCUUAGGUGAUUAUUGCGUAAUAAUCACCUCAAAGGCAACCAAUCAGCGUGGAGAAUUUUCAAUAAUCACCUAUGUAAUUAUACUAAUAUAAUUUAUGCGUAUAAGUACGUAUAUAGCAUAACUAUAUACAUUUUAAUUUCUCACAGGGGCAAACAAACUCAAUGCGGCGUAUAUAAUCAAAGAGAAAUUAUUCGGUUUUCGUUGUUUGCACCUCAUUCAGCAACAUAGCCCGUAAUAUUGAUGGCUUUUAAACAUAUUCAGAGCCUGGUUAGCCUGUGAUUCAAUUCUUACUGAACAACCAAACAAGGCAAAACCGCUUCAGCGUUUGGUUUAUAUAAGUCGUGUUAUGACCAAAUAUAUUCGUAUCACAGUUUUAAUCUGACUAUAACGCUGUACAUUUCCUGAAAUGAACGAUGUAUAAACGACGCAUGUGAGAAAUGUAUGUUGAACCGAAGCAAAAACUCGUGUAUACAAAAUGUACAAAGACUUAAUUUGGACCAAAUUGUUUCGUGUUGUUUUGUCUUUCCCUAAUUCAUGCUGUAUCUCAAGCGAAAUGUCAAAAAUCUUAUUUACUAAAUACUUUAGUCCUUUAAGAACUAAUUAUAAAUUUGUCAUUCUACUCUCGUUCCACCAAAAUAAUAAUUAUUCCUACAUAUAUAUUGAAUAAUUACAUUCAGAAUCAUUGACCAAUCAGGUUGCAAAACAGACCAGCCGAAGCCAGGGCCUUUUUCACUGACCAUUCAACUCCGGAAGCAAAAAGUCCUGGGUACGAGGUUGCCAUGAACUUUAAGCAGCCAUUUGGCAUUGUGGCAUAAGUACAGUACUACUGUGUAUACAGGGUGUCCCAAAAAACCCCGAAAAACCAUUGAAAUAACGUAUUGUUAAAAUUUGAAUGCCCUAGCACUAAGCCGAAAGCAAAGUGCCAAAGAUGCGUAAAAUAUUGACAAUGGUGCAUAUAUUAAAUAUUGACUUACUAAGAAAUUAAAAUAUCUUUGUAAAGCCACGAUUUUCCGCUCUUGGGAAUUUAAAACAGCUUCUUAAACGGGUUUUUAUGCAUAAAAUUGACUUACGUCAGGCUUUGAUGCACGUGUGGGUUCAGCAGAGUGCUGCGGCAUUCAUUUCUAACAAUACAUUUAUUUCGAUAGUUUUCGGGGUUUUUUUGGACACCUGUAUAGCGCGUUCGGUGAACAAAGGCUUUUACUAGCCUCCCGCACGUGCAUUGUCUUUACAUUUUCGAGCAGAAUUUGGUUGUUGCCAAAGGUGACCAUCAUACCGAUCUUAAUUAAAGUACAAUUAAUUAAAGUAGAUUUUGAGUUACGUUUGGCCACAGUUAAUAGAAAACUGUGGUUUGGCGCAUGGGUGAAGAGUCGAAUGAAUCGAUCUCGCUUCAACGUCACGGUCUGUGCCAGUGUAGGUAGUAUACCAAUAAUAAGAUUAGAGAGUUUAAGUUCCUGUUUACACUAUACCGGAUUCGCUCGUCACGACAUCUUCUUUUGCCGUUAAGGAGCAAUGGUUAGUAGCAAAUGCUUAAUAGUUUGACAGAAUUGGCAUGUUUAUUUGGGUCUCUGAGGUUAAAAAUCUUCACAGCCUUUCGAUACCUACAAAAUUUGACCCACUCCGAUAGCAAGCCGGUAUAGUGUAAACGGGGCCUAAGUUCGACUUCCAAUACCAAUACCGAUACCAAUGUUUUCACUUCCGUUCUCAUCAGUUCUAAUAGAACACAUUAAUCGUCACCGAAAAUGUGUGGUAUACUAAACGGCAGCUAAGCUAAAAUUCCGACUAAAACAUGACUCAGGCGAUGCUAAUAAACAAAUAGUUUACAUGUUUAUCGUAAAAAUUAUGAAAUAUCCGAUUUAUAUGAGUUUAUCUUACAAUUCCCCCGACUUCCAAUUCAAGGCCGACUUCGGUAGUGGUGACUUCCAAUACGCUUGUCCUCGUGCUUCCUGCGAGCAGAGAGCAUGCGCAUGACAUGUUGUUAUAGUAUCGGUAUUGGUAUCAGAAGUCGAACUUAAACUCUCUAUUGAUGGGGAUACAACUACCAUUUUUAUAUGUCGCUCCAUGAAGCCAGCUGUACUAGGAGUCACCGAUUCUCCUAACUCGUCGCCAGUAUUUCGUCAAUUACAUGUUAAUUUGGCCAAUACAACGGAACGCCGUCUGAAAUGGGUCUACUGAUUUCCAAAACUUAAAGUGUAAAUCGCGCAAAAUGAUCAUGAAAGCUUUAAAAUACGUCGCUAUUCAUCCGUAUAUACGUGUCAGGAAAAAUAGCCAUGUUGUACAGUAUAUACAAACUAUAUGCCAUUUUUUGUAUUCAAUGUUUAGGACUGAAAUUACCGACAUCUACUCGACCAACGAGCCACAAGCGGCUUUUCACCAAAGAAUUACUUUUGUUUGGAUAUUUAAUAUACCAAUCUGUAAAGGUGAGUUCGUUGCUAAAUAAAGUGAAUAUGGUUAAAACGACCGCUGUGUUUCAAAGAGUUUUACAAUCACAUCCCAAGUGAAGUUGAAAAUGAUACAUAUUUAAAUAUCGCGGUUGAGUGGUUGAAUUCUUGACAUUGGAUGAUCGCUUCAUUGUACAGCAAAAAGAAUAUAUUAACUCGCCAUCAAAAUGCAGGAAUUACCAUUAUAAAAUAACAUGUAUAUAACGCGUGUUCUGAUUGGUCGAAACCCGUGUUUGGAUCAGGCCAUCCAAACACGGAAGACUAUCGUGUUGUUGUUAUUUUAUAAAACAAUUACUUUAUGGUUUCCGUGUUUGAAUGGCCUGAUCCAAACACUUGGGAAUGUUGCUCGAGUUAAGAAAAGCGGGCAAAAUCACUCGCCUUCGGCUCGUGCUUUCGCUCGCUUUUCUUAACUCUCGCAACAUUCCCGCGUGUUUGGAUCAGGCCAUCCAAACACGGAAACCAUAAAGUAAUUGUAUAUAAAUGGACACGAAAGUAAAAAGAUUGCUUUUGUUGACCUUUAUUUUCCGUAAAGAAGAGUUUGUACUCUUCAAAAAGAACAUAAUAAGAAACUAAAUAGUUGUUUCUUCGCAUGUACAAGCUAUUUAUUGGACUCAAAGUGUAAAUGCUACUAUAUUGUUUUAAUUUUUAUUAUAAUAACCUUCCCUUUUAGACUAUGCGAUUUCCACCGAAGUCAUACAAUAAAUAUUUAGAAUCUUUUCAUAAGGUAUGACACAUUCGUUACUAAUCAGGGUUUUAUAGCAUUAGAGUAAGCAGGACUAGAUGGAUUUUAAUCCAAUUCGACUGGUCUUUGCAUUCAUUUAGAUAAACCAGGCUGCAGGCGUAAACAGCUGUGAUGUCAUAUCUGGUUGCCUGGAACGAAUAAACCUAAGCGAGUAUCACCAUAGUUAAUAGAGGAGAUGGUUUGGAAACUCGUUAGCAUUACAAUAAAAUCA